CUACUUUGCCGGCGAGCGGCGGACGGGUGAGUAAUGUCUGGGAAACUGCCUGAUGGAGGGGGAUAACUACUGGAAACGGUAGCUAAUACCGCAUAACGUCGCAAGACCAAAGAGGGGGACCUUCGGGCCUCUUGCCAUCAGAUGUGCCCAGAUGGGAUUAGCUAGUAGGUGGGGUAACGGCUCACCUAGGCGACGAUCCCUAGCUGGUCUGAGAGGAUGACCAGCCACACUGGAACUGAGACACGGUCCAGACUCCUACGGGAGGCAGCAGUGGGGAAUAUUGCACAAUGGGCGCAAGCCUGAUGCAGCCAUGCCGCGUGUAUGAAGAAGGCCUUCGGGUUGUAAAGUACUUUCAGCGGGGAGGAAGGCGUUGAGGUUAAUAACCUCAGCGAUUGACGUUACCCGCAGAAGAAGCACCGGCUAACUCCGUGCCAGCAGCCGCGGUAAUACGGAGGGUGCAAGCGUUAAUCGGAAUUACUGGGCGUAAAGCGCACGCAGGCGGUCUGUCAAGUCGGAUGUGAAAUCCCCGGGCUCAACCUGGGAACUGCAUU
rnacentral:rRNA from 1 species